rnacentral:rRNA from 1 species
GACGUAGGGGGCGAGCGUUGUCCGGAUUUAUUGGGCGUAAAGCGCGCGUAGGCGGCCGCGCAAGUCGGAUGUGAAAACCCGGGGCUCAACCCCGGGCCUGCAUUCGAUACGGGCAGACUAGAGUUCGGUAGGGGAGUCUGGAAUUCCUGGUGUAGCGGUGAAAUGCGCAGAUAUCAGGAGGAACACCGGUGGCGAAGGCGGGACUCUGGGCCGAUACUGACGCUGAGGAGCGAAAGCGUGGGGAGCAAACAGG